rnacentral:tRNA from 1 species
GGAGAGAUGGCAGAGUGGUCGAAUGCGGCGGUCUUGAAAACCGUUGAGGUGAGAGCCUCCGGGGGUUCGAAUCCCUCUCUCUCCGCCA